rnacentral:rRNA from 1 species
GAUGAACGCUGGCGGCGUGCUUAACACAUGCAAGUCGAACGGUGAACACGGAGCUUGCUCUGUGGGAUCAGUGGCGAACGGGUGAGUAACACGUGAGCAACCUGCCUCUGACUCUGGGAUAAGCGCUGGAAACGGCGUCUAAUACUGGAUAUGUGACGUGAUCGCAUGGUCUGCGUCUGGAAAGAAUUUCGGUUGGGGAUGGGCUCGCGGCCUCUCAGCUUGUUGGUGAGGUAAUGGCUCACCAAGGCGUCGACGGGUAGCCGGCCUGAGCUGGUGACCGGCCAAGCUGGGACUGAGACGCGGCCCGGACUCCUACGGGAGGCAGCAGUGGGGAAUAUUGCACAAUGGGCUCAAGCCUGAUGCAGCAACGCCGCGUGAUGGAUGACAGCCUUCGGGUUGUAAACCUCUUUUAGCAGGGAAGAAGCGAAAGUGACGGUACCUGCAGAAAAAGCGCCGGCUAACUACGUG